rnacentral:rRNA from 1 species
GUACAUGUAAAUAUUUUCAGUAUAGUAGUUAAUUGAUUUGACUUUUAUAAUUUUAAUUUUUAGGUGAAAUUUUAAUUUUUUUAUAACAAGUUUAUUUUGAAGCUACGAAAUUCAGAACAUAAACGAGGAUUAGAUACCCUUUUAUUUUGAAUGUUAAUUUAAUUACUUGGGUAGUAACAGCUAUGUUCUUGAAACCCAGAGGAUCUGGCGGUAUUUUAUUCUUUUUAGAGGAACCUGUCCUGUAAUUGAUAGUACACGAUGGAGAAUUACUUACUUUUGUUUACAAUUUGUAUACCUCCGUCAUAAGAGCAUCUUUUUAGAGUAAAUGUUCAUUUAAUAUGAAAUAUAAUAUGUCAGGUCAAGGUGCAAUUUAUGGGUAAGAAGAGAUGGGUUACAAUAUAUAUACAUAAAAUGGAUUCCUGUUAUUAUUUGACUGGAUGAAGGUGGAUUUAAAAGUAAAAUUAUUAACUAUUUAAUUUGAUUUUAGCUCUAGAAUAUGCACACAUCGCCCGUCACUCUUAUUUUAAAAUAAGAUAAGUCGUAACAUAGUAGGGGUACUGGAAGGUGUUCCUAGUAAGGUUU